GAGGAGUAGACUUGCUGCAUUAUUUUCUUUUUAUUUAGAUGAUAUUAAAACUCAGAAGAAUUAAUUUUGACAUUUUGUAUUUACAGUUUAUCAGUUAAUUUUCUCUGUUCAAGUAGUACAGUAGGCACAGAUUAACAUUUAAAUUUUUCACAUAUGGUAUAUUUCAGAAAUUUGAAGUUAAGCAAAAAUUUUAAUGAGUAGAGAAAGUAAGUAGCCUUCAGGAAAUCUUCAUAGAGGACCAGGCCCUUUUGGAAUUGUGAAUAGGUUUAUUGCCUUACAUCCUGGUACACAUGUCCAAGGUCAGGUCCUGGGUGGUAAAGGUAAAUACAAAUUGGAAGGGCACUGUGUGAGCCAAAAUGAGUCAGAUUAGUCAUGAUUCAUUUCCAGUUUGGGUUUUGGGUGGUCUUGGAGAAUGUUGUAAGCACUGCUUCAUUGAUAGGUUGAUUGAGCCAGACUUUACUCAGCAGCCUGGAAAAGGAGAGAUGGGCUCUGGGUUCUACCUUUGCUCACUGGUUUCUCUUUCUGUGAUGCAGAGACUCUCAGCUGUUCCUCCUCUAUGUCUACAUUAUGUCUGAAGGAAAGAAUUUAACAAAACUUGAAAUACUGCUGUUUUUCUACAAUGUUUGUAAAUAUUUAUCUUGCUGCUUUUCUAGGUUUGUCUUCUGGAUUUAAAAUUUGGGGCGGCUGGGGUGGAAUUGCAUGGUUUGGGAAUGGGUAAUUGAGCUGCUGCUCAUUAUGGUAUGUAACAGUGAUUUGUCUGUUUAAUAUGUACAAGAACUGGAAGGUCAAUAAAAUGAAAGUGGUUGUCUUGACUGGGUAAUAGUGUUACAUAUUUUGUUAAAAGUUAUACAUCUUUUCAAUAAAAACACUGCAUACUUCAAAACUAGUGCUUUUUAAGUCAUCCUUAACCCUUAUCCCCAUCCUUGCAGUAGUAGAUGCAUUUUUCAUUUGUAAUUAUUAUGAUUUGUUCUUAGUUUCAUUUUUCAUUAGCAAUAAUUUGGUGAUUGGAUGGUCAUUUACAGAUGUUUUAAUAAAGCUAACACGAGCAAUUUCCAGCUCUUCCAUUUUUGUAAACACUUGUGUGACUUUGUACAGACAAUUAACUGCUCAGGAUCACCCUCCUUUUUGUUUUGUUUUUGAGAUGGUCUCAUUCCGUCACCCAUGCUGGAGUGUAGUGAAAUGAUCACAGCUCACUGCAGCCUUGACCUCCCGGACUCAAGCUUCCUAGUAACUGGGACUACAGGUGCAUACAACCAUGCCUGGCUAAUUUUAUUUUUGUAGAGACGGUUUCACCAUAUUGCCCAGACUGGUCUUGAACUCCUGAUUAUCCUCUGGCUUUUACCUCCCAAAGUGCUGGCCAGGACAGCCUCCUUUCUUUACUUGAGUAAUUAUUUGAGUUUGCUCAGGCAGACACUACCUUGUAAAAACUCUUAUGUCUCAUUUCACUAGUCUAGUUUGAGCAUUUAUCAUUCUAGGAAUGAGACGAAUUUGUGCAUUAGCAUUCCAUCUUUUUCCAACUACUAUGAACAGUAGUAUUUUUUUUUAUUUUAUUUUAUUUUUUGAGACAAAAUCUCACUGUUUCCCAGGCUAGAGUGCAGUGGUGUGAUCUCAGCUCACUGCUGCAACCUCCACCUCCUGGGUAGAGUAGACAGGAUUUAGGUAAUUUUUUGUAUUUUUAUUAGAGACAGGGUUUCACUAUGUUGGCCAGGCUGGUCUUGAACUCCUGGCCUCAAGUGAUCCACCGGCCGUGGCCUUCCAGAGUGCUGGGAUUACAGGUGUGAACCACCCUUGCCUGAUCAUGAGCAGUAAUACAUUUAAAAGUCUCCAGGGGUGAGAAAGUUGAAAGGAAAUUCAGUGGAGUUUCCCAUCCUGCCCCUCUGCUGCCUAGCCCCUUGCUCCAGUGGAAGGAAGAAUCGUGAUCUAGGGAUGUUCUCAUACUUGGGGCUUUAAAUUUCCUUUAUGAAUUGAGAUGGUUGGGUAUGUUUUCUAAGGUACCUUACAUGGUACAGUUCUUUAAAGUUGAAGAUUUAAGUUGUGGCAAAAUUGCAUCAAUUUCAUGUGCACUGAUUUAGGCGAAGAUGCGUAGGAAAAGAGCAAGGAAAUGAGGUGUGAUAGGAUUGGGGUAAUUUCAAAAUGAGUAUUUCUGCCUGGCCUAGUGGUUCACGCCUGUAAUCACAGCACUUUGGGAGGCCAAGGCAGGCAGAUCCCCUGAGGUCAAGAGUUCGAGACCAGCCUGGCCAACAUGAUGAAACCCCAUCUUACUAAAAAAAAGUAGCUGGCAUGGUGGUGGGCUACUUGUGAGGCUGAUGUAAGGAGAACCGCUUGAACCAGGGAGGUGGAGGUUGCAGUGACCAGAGAUUACGCUAUUGCACUCCAGCUUGGACGACAGAGCAAGACUGUCUUAAAAAUGUUUCUAGUUUCACUUAUUCUAAAUUUAUGUCUAACCAUUUUUAGUGAAGUAUUUGAGUCACAUCAGCUAGCCUUUUUCCUACAGCGUUGAAGUAAUUUUCUA
rnacentral:lncRNA from 1 species